GGGUCGCAAACGGGAUAGAUACCCCGGUAGUCCAGGGUGUAACGCUGCAGACUUGGUGUUGGGGACCCUUCGGGGGUGUUCAGUGCCGGAGAGAAGUUGUUAAGUCUGCUACUUGGGGAGUACGUCCGCAAGGAUGAAACUUAAAGGAAUUGGCGGGGGAGCACCGCAACGGGAGGAACGCGCGGUUUAAUUGGAUUCAACACCGGAAAACUCACCAGCAGCGACUGUUACAUGAAAGUCAGGCCGAAAAAAUUAAAAAAUUUUCAGAGAGGUGGUGCAUGGCCGUCGUCAGUUCGUACCGUAAGGCGUUCUCUUAAGUGAGAUAACGAACGAGACCCUCACCAAUAAUUGCUACUGCAUCGUCCGCGAUGUAGGCACAUUAUUGGGACCGCUGGCGCUAAGUCAGAGGAAGGAGAGGUCAACGGUAGGUCAGUAUGCCCCGAAUCUGCUGGGCUACACGCGCGUUACAAAGGGCGGGACAAUGGGCUCCGACGCCGAAAGGCGAAGCAAUAAUCU
rnacentral:rRNA from 1 species